rnacentral:rRNA from 1 species
GACGAACGCUGGCGGCGUGGAUUAGGCAUGCAAGUCGAACGGUAUCAUCCUUUCGGGGGUGAGAGAGUGGCGAACUGGUGAGUAACACGUAGGUUAUCUACCCUCAAGACGGGGACAACCCAGGGAAACUUGGGCUAAUACCGGAUGUGAGCAACUUUUAGUUGUUUGAAAGGUGGCGUAAGCUGUCGCUUGGGGAUGAGCCUGCGUCCUAUUAGUUAGUUGGUGAGGUAACGGCUCACCUAGGCAAUGAUAGGUAGGCGGCCUUAACGGGUGGUCGCCCACACUGGGAUUGAGAUACGGCCCAGACUCCUACGGGAGGCAGCAGUCGAGAAUAGUCUACAAUGGUCGGAAGACUGAUAGUGCGACGCCGCGUGAACGAUGAAUCCCUUCGGGGUUAAAGUUCUUUUAUAUGUGAGCAGUGCUUCUUAUAUUAACAGUAUGGGGAAGAGAUAUUAGCAUAUGAAUAAGCAACGGCUAAACUCCGUGCCAGCAGCCGCGGU